rnacentral:rRNA from 1 species
UGGGGAAUAUUGCACAAUGGGCGGAAGCCUGAUGCAGCAACGCCGCGUGCGGGAUGACGGCCUUCGGGUUGCAAACCGCUUUCGCCUGUGACGAAGCGUGAGUGACGGUAAUGGGUAAAGAAGCACCGGCUAACUACGUGCCAGCAGCCGCGGUGAUACGUAGGGUGCGAGCGUUGUCCGGAUUUAUUGGGCGUAAAGGGCUCGUAGGUGGUUGAUCGCGUCGGAAGUGUAAUCUUGGGGCUUAACCCUGAGCGUGCUUUCGAUACGGGUUGACUUGAGGAAGGUAGGGGAGAAUGGAAUUCCUGGUGGAGCGGUGGAAUGCGCAGAUAUCAGGAGGAACACCAGUGGCGAAGGCGGUUCUCUGGGCCUUUCCUGACGCUGAGGAGCGAAAGCGUGGGGAGCGAACA